AUUGAACGCUAGCGGGAUGCCUUACACAUGCAAGUCGAACGAGUGGCGGACGGGUGGGCAGGUGAUCGGAACGUGCCCAGUCGCGGGGGUUAACGACGCGAAAGAGUGGCUAAUACCGCUUACUACUGGAGCGGCCGGUAUCGGAGUAGCUAGUUGGUGGGGUAAAGCCACACCAAGGCAACGAUCCGUACCUGGUAUGAGAGGAGGACCAGCCACACUGGGACUGAGAAACGGCCCAGACGCCUACGGGAGGCAGCAGUGGGGAAUUUUGGACAAUGGGGGAAACCCUGAUCCAGCCAUCCCGCGUGUGUGAGAAGGCCUUCGGGUUGUAAAGUACUUUUGUCAGGGAAGCGGUAUCUGCAGAAUAAGCACCGGCUAACUACGUGCCAGCAGCCGCGGUAAUUC
rnacentral:rRNA from 1 species